CAUGGGGACAGCUCCAUGGGGACAGCUCCCUGGAUCUCUAUGGCCUUUAAAGUAUAGGUGGGCCAACCGGCUCAUUUCAGUUGGACCAUUGGUCAUCCUCUUAAUUCUCGUGUGUCCCUUGGCUGAUUGUCUGGAUCCAUCAACUAUUGAUGAAGAUCCUAGCCUAUUUUGUUACCAGGACAGAGAUGCACACAGAAGUCUGUCUGUAUGCGUCUGUGCUUUCUUACUAACACGAUUAUCAAAAUUCAGUUCUCCUCUCCUAAGAGCGAGAGUGUUCUUCAGUGGGACCCACCUCUGUAGACACACUGAUGUUGAAGUGAUGGCUCUUGUUUACCAAUGUCAUAUUUGAUAUCCCCAUCUUUUCUGGCCUCUUGGAGGAUGGGUGGGGCCAUUUUGACUGUGUCUGACUACAAGCUGUAAGAGGAAGUGGUGUAGUUAACUUCCAGGUUGAAGCAUAGCCCCAGGUUGGGGGUGAGUGGGAUAUCUCUUUCCCUUUCAUGGUAAUUGUGGAAGCCAUACAUUUCAGAGAAUUCAGUUCUAAGAUGCAGAAUGGGCCACUAGCCUCCAUCCAUCAGCAAGUGACUGUGUGGAUUAGGGCAUAAGCCCCAUGCUAUCCUGCAGCCCCUACCAACUCACAAUGGGCAUAGAAUAAGCCUUUGUUAUGCUUAGGCCCUAAGGCUUCAGGGUCUAUUAGUUACUGCAACUCACCCAGCCUGGCCUCAUGGUUGAGGAUUUCUGCAUCAGCCAUGGGCUGGAGCUGACAGUGCUUUCACAGGGGGGCAGGCUGGGUGUUCCAUCUUUGCAGGACAUCCUUUGUGUGGCCCAGCCGUGAGACGCUGCCUCACUGGGGAAGGUGUUUCUGCAUUAGAGAAAACAGACCAUCGAUGGCCAGCAAAUGAUGUUUCCUGUGGACACACUAGUGAACAAUAAAAGAGGAUCCUUGGGCUGCUGAGAUGAUUCAGUGGAUACAGCUGCUUUCUGCCAAGUGGGAUGACCUGAAUAUGAUCCCUGGAACCCACAUGGUGGAAGGAAGAGAACCAACUUCCACAAAGCUGUCCUCUGACUCCACACGUAUUCUGUGACACGCAGACGUGCACCCGCGCACAUGCAUGCAUGCAUGCAGAAGCAAUAAAGACUGCUGUUUGAACGCUGUACUGUAGAAGGCACAGACUGAGAUGCUGGAUCAACUGCGCAUGCCUGUCUUUGUGACCGGCUGCUAUCGAUCCUUCCGAGCCCGUGUGCCACGCUGGAAAGCUGCAUCUAAGAGUUAAGAUUUACUGGCUUAAAAGCGUGUGUGUCGUGGGAUUGCGCGGUGGCUCAGUAAGUAAGUGCUUGCCUUGCACACACAAAGACCUAACUGUUCAAUGUGCAGCUCCUAUGUUUAAAAAUCUAGUUGAGCAUUGUGGCACACACUUAUAAUCUCAGCUCUAAAGAAGCAAAGACCGUGGCUCCCUGGGGCUCACUGGUAGCCAGCAGCCAAACUGGUGAGUUGCAGGUAAAAGUGAGAGUUUUUUUUUUUUUUCUCACAAAACAUGAUGGAUUAUGAGGAACUACAGUUGAGAUUGUCCUCUGGUCUCCACAGACACAUAUGUACUCAUACCUAUACAUAGUCAUGCACCUGCAAACACACACACACACACACACACACACACACACACACACACAC